rnacentral:rRNA from 1 species
AACGAACGCUGGCGGCAUGCCUAAAACAUGCAAGUCGAACGAGACCUUCGGGUCUAGUGGCGCACGGGUGCGUAACGUGUGGGAAUCUGCCCUUGGGUACGGAACAACAGUUAGAAAUGACUGCUAAUACCGUAUAAUGACUCCGGUCCAAAGAUUUAUCGCCCAAGGAUGAGCCCGCGUCGGAUUAGCUAGUUGGGGAGGUAAAAGGUCACCAAGGCGACUAUCCGUAGCUGGUCUGAGAGGAUGAUCAGCCACACUGGGACUGAGACACGGCCCAGACUCCUACGGGAGGCAGCAGUGGGGAAUAUUGGACAGUGGGCGAAAGCCUGAUCCAGCAAUGCCGCGUGAGUGAUGAAGGCCUUAGGGUUGUAAAGCUCUUUUACCCGGGAUGAUAAUGACAGUACCGGGAGAAUAAGCCCCGGCUAACUCCGUGCCAGCCGCCGCCGUAA